rnacentral:rRNA from 1 species
GACAGAGGCCUCAAGCGUUAGGCGGAAUCACUGGGCUUAAAGCGUGUGUAGGCGGAUCGUUAAGUGUCUUGUGAAAUCCCACGGCUCACCCGUGGAACGGCUGGGCAUACUGGCGAUCUUGGGCCAACUAGGGGCAACUGGAACAAGCGGUGGAGCGGUGAAAUGCGUAGAUAUCGCUUGGAACGCCGAAGGUGAAAACAGGUCGCUGGGGACGCGCCGACGCUGAGACACGAAAGCCAGGGGAGCAAACGGG